ensembl:lncRNA
GUAUAGUAUAAUAUAGUAUAAUGUAGUAUAGUAUAAUAUAGUAUAAUGUAGUAUAGUAUAAUAUAAUAUAAUGUAGUAUAUAUAAUAUAGUAUAAUGUAGUAUAGUAUAAUAUAGUAUAAUGUAGUAUAGUAUAAUAUAAUAUAAUGUAGUAUAUAUAAUAUAAUAUAAUGUAUUAUAGUAUAAUAUAAUAUAAUGUAGUAUAAUGUAGUAUAGUAUAAUAUAAUGUAAUAUAGUAUAAUAUAGUAUAAUAUAGUAUAGUAUAAUAUAAUAUAUGUAGUAUAGUAUAAUAUAAUGUAAUGUAGUAUAGUAUAAUAUAUUAUAGUAUGGUAAAGUAGAGGAUCGUAUAGAAGAGUAUAGUUCUAAUAAGACUAAUGAACUGUCAUACCUUAUCUAAAAUUCCUUUUGAUGUUUGGUUGUGUUGCAGGACUGAUAUCAUACCUGUCCUAAUAUUUCACUCGACACCAUGUACAGUAUUCCAUGUUGUGCUCAGUCUAGUAGUAUAGUAGAGUAUACUUUUAAUAUGACUAAUUUGCUGUCAUUUCUCUCUCGGUCCGUAGUGUUUGUCGUUUUAAUGGAACACCUGCAGGGUCAGGUGAGGUACGCUCUGAACAGGUGAGCAGUGAUGUUUCCAUGUGAUUGAUAAGAGAACGAGACUAGUACCUGAAACGUGAUCUCCUUCCCCGAUUGCGUGUCGUGGUGUCGCUGUGUGUGUUUGGGCGACGCCGUGAAUCAAAGUUAGGAAAUAUGAAGCCUUAAGUGAAAGUGUGUGUGUGUGUGUG